rnacentral:rRNA from 1 species
UUAAAAAGUUAAUUGUUAAGUCAAUUUAAUUUGAAAGUUAUAUUUUAUUGGUUGUUAUAAAUAUUUUUUGUUUUAAAAGAAAUAAAUUUUAAUUUAUUAUUAUAAAGAAAAAUUUAAUUUAAUGAUAGAGUAUAGUAUUGUGAAAGAAAAAUAUAAAUUAAUAUAUAAGAAAAAUUUUUUUUUUGUACCUUGUGCAUCAGGGUUUAUUAAAAAUUAAUUUAAUAUUAAAUAAUCUCGAAUUUAAAAGAGCUAAAAGUUUAAAAUUAAUAUUGUGAAAUAAUUAUAUUAAAUAAAUUUUUUGUAAUGAAAUGUUAUUCGUUUUUAAAUAUAUCUAGUUUUUUAAGAAAUAAAUUAAAUUUAUUUAUUAUUAAUAUUUAAUUUUAUAGGUAAUUAAAUAUUAUUAAUAUUUAAUAUUUUUGGGGAUGAGCUCAAAAAUAAAUAUUUAUUAAAAUUUAUUUUUAUAUAAAAUAUUUUAGGAUUAUAAAUUUCCAUAAUUUAAAGUAUGUUAUAAUUUAUUUUUCAUUUUUAUAAUUUUUAUUUUUUAUAAAUUUUUUAUUAAAAUGUAUUUUUUAAUAAUAAAAAAUUAGUAAUAAUGAUAAAAUUAGUAUAAUUUAUUAUAUGAAUAGUAUAAAAUUUUAGGUUUAUAUAAGGAAUUCGGCAAAUUAUUUUUCACCUGUUUAUUAAAAACAUGUCCUUUUGUUUAAAAUUUAAGGUCUAGCCUGCCCACUGAUAUAUUUAAAUGGCCGCGGUAUUUUGACCGUGCUAAGGUAGCAUAAUCAUUAGUUUUUUAAUUGAAAGCUGGAAUGAAGGGUUGAAUGAAAAAAUAACUGUCUCUUAUAAAUUUUAUUAGAAUUUUAUUUUUAAGUUAAAAAGCUUAAAUUUAUUUAAAAGACGAGAAGACCCUAUAGAGUUUAAUAUAAUUUUUUAUUUUUAUGUAAAGAAUUUAUUGUUUAAAUAAACUAUUAUAUUUAAUUGGGGUGAUUAAAAAAUUUAAUAAACUUUUUUUUUAUAUUUAUAUAAGUUAAUAAGUAUUUGAUCCAAACGUUUUGAUUAUAAGAAUAAAUUACCUUAGGGAUAACAGCGUAAUUUUAUUGGAGAGUUCUAAUCGAUAGUAAAGAUUGCGACCUCGAUGUUGGAUUAAAAUUUAUUUUUGGUGUAGGGGCUAAAAAAUUAAGUCUGUUCGACUUUUAAAAUUUUACAUGAUCUGAGUUUAAACCGGUGUAAGCCAGGUUGGUUUCUAUCUUUAAAAAAUUAAUUUAUUUUAGUACGAAAGGACCAAAUAAA